CUAAACAGAGGAGGUGAGCUGCUUCUCCCUGGGCCUGUCUAAACAGAGGAGGUGAGCUGCUUCUCCCUGGGCCUGUCUAAACAGAGGAGGUGAGCUGCUUCUCCCUGGGCCUGUCUAAACAGAGGAGGUGAGCUGCUUCUCCCUGGGCCUGUUUACAGGAGCAAUAGUCAGUCCACCACCAAAAGGCUUAGCAGGAGGCUGCCUGUUUACAGGUACAGUAGUCAGUCCACCACCAAAAGGCUUAGCAGGAGGCUGCCUGUUUACAGGUACAGUAGUCAGUCCACCACCAAAAGGCUUGGCAGGAGGCUGCCUGUUUACAGGUACAGUAGUCAGUCCACCACCAAUAGGCUUGGCAGGAGGCUGCCUGUUUACAGGUGCAGUAGUCAGUCCACCACCAAUAGGCUUGGCAGGAGGCUGCCUGUUUACAGGAACAGUAGUCAGUCCACCACCAAUAGGCUUGGCAGGAGGCUGCCUGUUUACAGGAGCAGUAGUCAGUCCACCACCAAUAGGCUUGGCAGGAGGCUGCCUGUUUACAGGAACAGUAGUCAGUCCACCACCAAUAGGCUUGGCAGGAGGCUGCCUGUUUACAGGAACAGUAGUCAGUCCACCACCAAUAGGCUUGGCAGGAGGCUGCCUGUUUACAGGUGCAGUAGUCAGUCUACCACCAAAAGGCUUGGCAGGAGGCUGCCUGUUUACAGGUGCAGUAGUCAGUCCACCACCAAUAGGCUUGGCAGGAGGCUGCCUGUUUACAGGAACAGUAGUCAGUCCACUUGCUUUGGCAAUGUUAACAUAUGUUUCCCAUGCCAAUAAAGCCC
rnacentral:lncRNA from 1 species